rnacentral:lncRNA from 12 species
CACAGGGGACUAAAGGUGACACUGAUUAAUUUACAAACAAAUAGGUGUGGAAAGGAAAAACAGGUUUUAAGGUAUUGUUGAGUAAUACUUAAGUUUCAGUCAUGGUCUGCCCACAUGUAUAAAUAAAGGUGCUGAUCAGAUUCUGACACCUGCAGUUCAGCAUCACUGUAUUCUGGUAAAGCUGUUUUCGCUGGUAAAGAGAGAAUCUCCUUGAAUUUGCUCUGCUCUGCAUUUUUCUCUGGUGCAGGAGGUGCAGUUUCUCAUAAUGAGGUUUUUAAUCUCAUUGUGCGUGUCUCUGCUGCUGCUUAAUAAUGGUGAAAUAAUCAAUGGACAAACACCAGGCUGCAUUCUACGACCUACGAUCUUAUGUUUUGAAAUAAACUUUCUAAAAAUUAAUUUUCUAAUGAUUUUUAAGGACGUUAUUGUCAUGAAUCCGGUCUUCGAACUUCCGUUCACUCACCACCAGAGGUCACCUGCUCACUACAUGGACUCUCACAUUACACAGACUGUUACACAUACCCUGGACUACAUUUCCUAUCAUCCAUUACACUGAUUGCACACAGCUGUCAUCAAUCUCCUGCUCACCUGAAAACAAUCACACCAUGCACCUGAGACCAAUUACACACACAGCUACAAUCAAUCAGACACGCUUUAUAAGCAUUGGACUUCCUCUCUCGAACUGCUGAGUAUUGUUCUGCGUUUCUCACUCUCCCAGUGUUAGCUGCGAAACGGAGCCAGUCUAUUUUCCUAGUUUAGUCUAGUCUUUCCUUGCCUGUUUUCCCGUGUAUCGAUCUCUGCCUUUGUUUUUGGAUUACCCUGCCGUCUUGCCAUUGGGACUCUGUUUGCCCUUGCCUGGACUAUUAUCUGUGCCUGGAUUAUCUCUUUCUGCCUAGCUCUAUGGAUAUUGUCUGCUGAUCGGAGACCCUUGCUUGCCCUUGGAUUAUUCUUGUGUCUUGCCCAUACCAUACUUGUUUCCUACUGUUUCGACCAUGUCAAGGAAUAAAAGCUUGCAUAUAGGUCCGCAUGUCUCGCAUCUGUCACUCCGUUACAGUUAUAAUGUUACUGUUAUCUGCAAACUGUCCCUUUGCGUCAACUGGCGGUAGUUUCAUGAACGACUUUAACACGCGACUGACUUGCAGUUAACGCUGUGGCCCUGCGGCAGCGGUACACGUGGUGGUAAUAGGCAUUUUGGUUGUCCACCUAAUGUGUGUGUGUGUGUGUGUGUAUACAGUGGGUACGGAAAGUAUUCAGACCCCUUAAAUUUUUCACUCUUUGUUAUAUUGCAGCCAUUUGCUAAAAUAAUUUAAGUUCAUUUUUUUUCCUCAUUAAUGUACACACAGCACCCCAUAUUAACAGAAAAACACAGAAUUGUUGACAUUUUUGCAGAUUUAUUAAAAAAGAAAAACUGAAAUAUCACAUGGUCCUAAGUAUUUAGACUCUUUGCUGUGACACUCAUAUAUUUAACUCAGGUGCUGUCCAUUUCUUCUGAUCAUCCUUGAGAUGGUUCUACACCUUCAUUUGAGUCCAGCUGUGUUUGAUUAUACUGAUUGGACUUGAUUAGGAAAGCCACACACCUGUCUAUAUAAGACUUUACAGCUCACAGUGCAUGUCAGAGCAAAU